rnacentral:rRNA from 1 species
UACGUAGGGUGCGAGCGUUGUCCGGAAUUACUGGGCGUAAAGAGCUCGUAGGUGGUUUGUCGCGUUGUUCGUGAAAACUCACAGCUUAACUGUGGGCGUGCGGGCGAUACGGGCAGACUGGAGUACUGCAGGGGAGACUGGAAUUCCUGGUGUAGCGGUGGAAUGCGCAGAUAUCGGGAGGAACACCGGUGGCGAAGGCGGCGACCUGGGUUGACAUUGACGCUGAGGCGCGAAAGCGUGGGGAGCAAACAGG